AUUGAACGCUGGCGGCAGGCCUAACACAUGCAAGUCGAGCGGAUGAAGGGAGCUUGCUCCUGGAUUCAGCGGCGGACGGGUGAGUAAUGCCUAGGAAUCUGCCUGGUAGUGGGGGAUAACGUCCGGAAACGGGCGCUAAUACCGCAUACGCCCUGAGGGAGAAAGUGGGGGAUCUUCGGACCUCACGCUAUCAGAUGGGCCUAGGUGGGAUUAGCUAGUUGGUGGGGUAAAGGCCUACCAAGGCGACGAUCCGUAACUGGUCUGAGAGGAUGAUCAGUCACACUGGAACUGAGACACGGUCCAGACUCCUACGGGAGGCAGCAGUGGGGAAUAUUGGACAAUGGGCGAAAGCCUGAUCCAGCCAUGCCGCGUGUGUGAAGAAGGUCUUCGGAUUGUAAAGCACUUUAAGUUGGAAGGAAGGGCAGUAAGUUAAUACCUUGCUGUUUUGACGUUACCAACAGAAUAAGCACCGGCUAACUUCGUG
rnacentral:rRNA from 1 species